AGCGAACGCUGGCGGCAGGCUUAACACAUGCAAGUCGAGCGCCCCGCAAGGGGAGCGGCAGACGGGAGAGUAACACGUGGGAACGUACCCUUUAGUUCGGAACAACCCAGGGAAACUUGGGCUAAUACCGGAUACGUCCGAAAGGAGAAAGAUUUAUCGCUAAAGGAGCGGCCCGCGUCUGAUUAGCUAGUUGGUGAGGUAAUGGCUCACCAAGGCGACGAUCAGUAGCUGGUCUGAGAGGAUGAUCAGCCUCACUGGGACUGAGACACGGCCCAGACUCCUACGGGAGGCAGCAGUGGGGAAUAUUGGACAAUGGGCGCAAGCCUGAUCCAGCCAUGCCGCGUGGGUGAUGAAGGCCCUAGGGUUGUAAAGCCCUUUCGGCGGGGAAGAUAAUGACGGUACCCGCAGAAGAAGCCCCGGCUAACUUCGUGCCAGCAGCCGCCGUAAGAC
rnacentral:rRNA from 1 species